rnacentral:tRNA from 3 species
CGGGAAGUAGCUCAGCUUGGUAGAGCACUUGGUUUGGGACCAAGGGGUCGCAGGUUCGAAUCCCGUCUUCCCGA